GCUAUUUCUACUUUUUUGAUGUUUAUUUUGAAGAGACAAUCAACAAAAUUCCAGGAACUAAAUAUAUAUAUAUUUUGCAACACUGUUUAUAAUAGGUAAUCUAAAACAAAGUGUGUAUAAAUUGAUUCAGGUCACUAUAUUUUAAAUCAUCAGAUCCUUGAAUUACUAUGCAGCCCUGAAAUUUUUUGAAAGAUGUGAUGACAACAUUGGUAGCAAUAGCAGCAUUUACUGGGCACUUCCUGUGUACCAGGCACUGCUUCUAAAUGCUUUACAUAGCCACUCAUUUUAUUACUGGGACCCUUUUGGUAUAAUUAUCAGCAUAAAAAUGAGAGAAGAAACUUGUGGAAGACCACACAGCUAGCAUAGGGUCAAGCAUCCAGAUGUGAACACAAGCAGUCAGUCUCCAGAGCUGUGCCCAUAACCUCAGCAGCUAUAAAAGCUACAGUUCAAGAUGUGGCACAGAGGAUGGGAACAUACUUGAGCAAUAAGCAAUGAUAUCCUGUAAAUUUGGUAAAUUAGUGUAGCGUGCACACAGAAGUAGAGAUACAGACACCACCCUACACUGUUGGAACUAAAGCUUUUCUGGUGCAAAUGGCUUUAUUAAUAAAAUUUAAAACAUUAAUAGCCCAGAUGCAACAGAGUUCUGGGUACCUGUAGGAGUGCCAAGAAAAGGAAGUAAUGUAAAGUAUAAGGAUUUUUUUUCCCUCCAGCCCCUUUGGUUGAUGGAACCAACAUUAUAGAAGGCAGACAGAGACAGCUACUGAAAUUGGACUUGAGUACAACUAUAAGGCACCAACCAAAAAACGUGAAAAAAAAUUUGACUUGAAUCCUUCAGAAUCCAGAACAGCUCCCCACCAUUUAUACUUUAUCAGUGCUGC
rnacentral:lncRNA from 1 species